GCACCCAUAGCUCAGCAGGAUAGAGCGUCGGAUUCCUAAUCCGAAGGCCACAGGUUCGAAUCCUGUUGGGUGCACCA
rnacentral:tRNA from 8 species